GGGAUGGAGCGCACUGCUUCUCCCGGGGGCGCUCGGUUGGUGAGAGCUGGAGUGCAUCUCAAGUUCCCAUAACAAGCUUGGAGGGAUUUUUUCUUCCAAACCGCGCGGGAACGGAUUUCAAUUCUAGAGCGGACAACACGCGCCAGGGGCGAGAGCGGGAGCAGCUCCUUGUUCUUUGCUACACUGGGCUCCAGAGAGUGCAACCUGGGGCUCCCACUUGGAAGACCGCGCUCCAGUCCCGCUUGUCUCCUGGGGCCCCAGAAAGUUUCUUGAAAGUGGAAACUCUUACCUGUCCCAAAAGGUCAUAGCCCAGCUCCUCGGCGAUGGCCGAGGCUGCUUCCGGGCCCCCGGGGAUCUCCGCCGCCCAUUCAUUGACAAAUUGCCUUUUCGCUUUUGCACUGUUCAAUGCACACCAAGCGCAAAAGAGGGCGAAAGCAGUGCACUGCAGAGUCCAGGCUCUUCGCUCCAUGGCUCACACACUCGCUUGAAGACGAUUGGGAACGGAAGAGGAGAAAGAA